UUCUGGUUCUCAUACGAUCACCGAAGUUAAGCAACAUUAAAUCUGGUCUGUACCUAGAUGGGUGACCACUUGGGAAUACCAAGUGUUGUGA